CAGCAUGCUGAUCCUAAGGACAAGGCUUGUCGUAGCUGAUGUUCUCCAAUAGCAUGCUAGAAAAAAACGGGGCAGACUUUGACUGUCCUGACGUGUUUGUGGCAGCGACAGCCACUCAGCUGUCCCACAGAU